rnacentral:rRNA from 1 species
GAUGAACGCUGGCGGCGUGCCUAAUACAUGCAAGUCGAGCGAACAGAUGAGGAGCUUGCUCCUCUGACGUUAGCGGCGGACGGGUGAGUAACACGUGGAUAACCUACCUAUAAGACUGGGAUAACUUCGGGAAACCGGAGCUAAUACCGGAUAAUAUAUUGAACCGCAUGGUUCAAUAGUGAAAGACGGUUUUGCUGUCACUUAUAGAUGGAUCCGCGCCGCAUUAGCUAGUUGGUAAGGUAACGGCUUACCCAGGCGACGAUGCGUAGCCGACCUGAGAGGGUGAUCGGCCACACUGGAACUGAGACACGGUCCAGACUCCUACGGGAGGCAGCAGUAGGGAAUCUUCCGCAAUGGGCGAAAGCUUGACGGAGCAACGCCGCGUGAGUGAUGAAGGUCUUCGGAUCGUAAAACUCUGUUAUUAGGGAAGAACAAAUGUGUAAGUAACUAUGCACGUCUUGACGGUACCUAAUCAGAAAGCCACGGCUAACUACGUG